UACGAAGGGGGCUAGCGUUGCUCGGAAUUAUUGGGCGUAAAGCGCACGUAGGCGGCUUAGCAAGUCGGAAGUGAAAUCCCUCGGCUCAACCAAGGAAGUGCUUUCGAAACUGCUGAGCUUGAGUACUUAAGAGGAUCGCGGAAUUCCCGGUGUAGAGGUGAAAUUCGUAGAUAUCGGGAGGAACACCAGUGGCGAAGGCGGCGAUCUGGGAAGAUACUGACGCUGAGGUGCGAAAGCGUGGGGAGCAAACAGG
rnacentral:rRNA from 1 species